GCUCAGAACGAACGCNGGCGGCGUGCCUCAUGCAUGCAAGUCGAGCGAGGGCGGGGUAGCAAUACCUCGAACCGAGCGGCGAACGGGUGAGUAACACGUGGGUAAUCUGCCCUUGGGAUUGGGAUAGCAAGUCGAAAGGCUUGGUAAUACCGGAUAACAUCCUUCUGGUGCAUAUCGGAAGGAGCAAAUGGCACAAUGAAAGUUGUGACGCCUGAGGAUGAGCCCGCGGCCUAUCAGCUAGUUGGUGAGGUAAUGGCUCACCAAGGCUAAGACGGGUAGCUGGCCUGAGAGGGUGGUCAGCCACACUGGGACUGAGAUACUGCCCAGAGCCCUACGGGGUGCAGCAGCAGGGAAUUUUCCGCAAUGGACGCAAGUCUGACGGAGCGACGCCGCGUGGAGGAUUGAAGGCCUUCGGGUUGUAAACUCCUGUCAGGGGUUAUGAAGGCUCUCGCAAGAGAGUUUGACAAAGGCCCCAGAGGAAGACAUGGCUAACUCUGUGCCAGCAGCCGCGGUAAUACAGAGAUGUCGAGCGUUGUUCGGAAUCACUGGGCGUAAAGGGCGCGUAGGCGGUCGUAUAAGUUGGAUGUGAAAUCCUCUGGCUCACCCAGAGAAUUGCAUCCAAUACUGUACGGCUAGAGGAUGGCAUGGGAGAGUGGAACUCUAGGUGGAGCGGUGAAAUGCGUUGAUAUCUAGAGGAACGCCGGCGACGAAGGUGACUCUCUGGGCCAUUUCUGACGCUGAGUGCGCGAAAGCUAGGGGAGCAAACGGGAUUAGAUACCCUGGUAGUC
rnacentral:rRNA from 1 species